AGCAGCCGCGGUAAUUCCAGCUCCAAUAGCGUAUAUUAAAGUUGUUGCAGUUAAAAGCUCGUAGUUGAAUUUCGGGGUCUGUCCAUUGGUCGGGCUUCACGGUCCGUACUGGUGUGACGGGUUCCUACCUUCUGAAUAACCAGCAUGCCAUUCAGUUGGUGCGCCGGGGAAGCAGAGCUAUUACCUUGAAAAAAUUGAGUGCUUAAAGCAGGCUAGUGCUUGAAUAGAUUAGCAUGGAAUAAUAAAAUAGGACGGCAUGGUUCUAUUUUGUUGGUUUCUAGGAUCACCGUAAUAAUUAAUAGGGAUAGUUGGGGGCAUUAGUAUUCAAUUGUCAGAGGUGAAAUUCUUGGAUUUAUUGAAGACUAACUUCUGCGAAAGCAUUUGCCAAGGAUGUUUUCAUUAAUCAAGAACGAAAGUUAGGGAUCGAAGACGAUCAGAUACCGUCGUAGU
rnacentral:rRNA from 1 species